UACGUAGGGUGCAAGCGUUGUCCGGAAUUAUUGGGCGUAAAGAGCUCGUAGGCGGUUUGUCGCGUCUGCUGUGAAAACUGGAGGCUCAACCUCCAGCCUGCAGUGGGUACGGGCAAACUAGAGUGCGGUAGGGGAGAUUGGAAUUCCUGGUGUAGCAGUGAAAUGCGUAGAUAUCAGGAGGAAUACCGAUGGCGAAGGCAGGUCUCUGGGCUGACACUGACGCUCAUGCACGAAAGGCGUGGGGAGCAAACAGG
rnacentral:rRNA from 1 species